rnacentral:rRNA from 1 species
GACGAACGCUGGCGGCGUGCCUAAUACAUGCAAGUAGAACGCUGAAGAGAGGAGCUUGCUCUUCUUGGAUGAGUUGCGAACGGGUGAGUAACGCGUAGGUAACCUGCCUGGUAGCGGGGGAUAACUAUUGGAAACGGUAGCUAAUACCGCAUAAUAGUAGAUGUUGCAUGACAUUUGCUUAAAAGGUGCAAUUGCAUCACUACCAGAUGGACCUGCGUUGUAUUAGCUAGUUGGUGAGGUAACGGCUCACCAAGGCAACGAUACAUAGCCGACCUGAGAGGGUGAUCGGCCACACUGGGACUGAGACACGGCCCAGACUCCUACGGGAGGCAGCAGUAGGGAAUCUUCGGCAAUGGACGGAAGUCUGACCGAGCAACGCCGCGUGAGUGAAGAAGGUUUUCGGAUCGUAAAGCUCUGUUGUAAGAGAAGAACGAGUGUGAGAGUGGAAAGUUCACACUGUGACGGUAUCUUACCAGAAAGGGACGGCUAACUACGUG